rnacentral:lncRNA from 1 species
CUGCCAGAUGCCCUGCUGCCUUAAGUGUGCUGUCUGCACAGAACCGACUGAUGCAGCGCAAUGCACCCCGCAGACAGGUUUCCCUCCGAUGAUUGGAAAGGGAAGAUUCAGGCAUGUUUUCAGUUUUCUCAAUGAAAACAACCCUGAAACCACAAGAAGAAAUAAAAAAAAAUUACCAGCAUGGAAAUCUGAAUAGUGAAAUGAGCGAAUUCUCUGCCAAGCUUUGCUUUUAAAUCUGCUCAAGAAGAGCUGAUCGACUAAAAGAGCAAAACUGGAAUUAACCGCAGCAUGUCAACGAAAAUGCAAACAGGCUGUGACAAUGCAAUGAGGAUUCCUAUCGAACUCAAGAAGUCGGACGACAUCAAAGUCCAUAUUCCUUUAAACUCUGCACUCUGUCAGGCAACAGCUCGACAUGUG